AUGGCUCAGAUUGAACGCUGGCGGCGUGCUUAACACAUGCAAGUCGCGCGUGAAAGGACUUCGGUCCGAGUAAAGCGGCGCACGGGUGAGUAACGCGUGGAUGAUCUACCCAUGAGUUAGGAAUAACGGCUGGAAACGGUCGCUAAUACCAAAUACGCUCCGAUUUCAACUUCGGGGGAAAGGUGGCCUCUGCUUGCAAGCUACUGCUCAUGGAUGAGUCCGCGUCCCAUUAGCUAGUUGGUGGGGUAACGGCCCACCAAGGCGACGAUGGGUAGCCGGUCUGAGAGGAUGACCGGCCACACUGGGACUGGAACACGGCCCAGACUCCUACGGGAGGCAGCAGUGGGGAAUAUUGCGCAAUGGGCGAAAGCCUGACGCAGCGACGCCGCGUGAGGGAUGAAGGUCCUCGGAUCGUAAACCUCUGUCAGGAGGGAAGAACCGCCACGGUGCUAAUCAGCCGUGGUCUGACGGUACCUCCAAAGGAAGCACCGGCUAACUCCGUGCCAGCCGCCGC
rnacentral:rRNA from 1 species